rnacentral:rRNA from 1 species
AAUCAACGCUGGCGGCGUGCCUAACACAUGCAAGUCGAACGAGAAAGGGGAGCAAUCCCUGAGUACAGUGGCGACCGGGUGAGUAACACGUGACUACCUACCCUUGAGUGGGGGAGUAACCUCGGAACCGGAGGCUAAUACGCAUAAUAUCGAGAGAUCAAAGGAAGCAAUCCGCUCUUGGAGGGGGUCGGCGGCUGAUUAGCUAGUUGGUGAGGUAAUGGCUCACCAAGGCGAAGAUCGGUAUCCGGCCUGAGAGGGCGCACGGACACACUGGAACUGAAACACGGUCCAGACUCCUACGGGA